CAAAAAGACGGUCUCAGUUCGGAUUGAAGGCUGAAAUUCGCCUACAUGAAGUUGGAAUUGCUAGUAAUGGCAGGUCAGCAUACUGCCGUGAAUACGUUCCCGGGCCUUGUACACACCGCCCGUCACACCAUGAGAGUUGGAGAUACCCGAAGCCUGUGAGCUAACUUUUAGAGGCAGCAGUCGAAGGUAGAAUCAAUGAUUGGGGUGAAGUCGUAACAAGGUAGC
rnacentral:rRNA from 1 species